rnacentral:lncRNA from 1 species
UUCUGUUCCCACGGCCCUUCAGACUCUGAGUCCUGGAUGCAUACUCCCUCCAUUUAUUUUUAUUUUCUUUCUGUGCUCAUGUUGAGCCAUUUCAAAGGAAGAGAAGAAGAAACUGAUUGGUUCAGUGAGCCAGUACUUAGUAAAUGUCUGCUUCUUUAGUUACUCACUGCAAGGAAGGUCAAGCGAAGCCGUUUUCCCGUGUGCCUGGGAAGAGGAAAUAAAGCAGUGGGUAAACGGUAACGUCUCUACCAGGCUGGGUCGAAUUGAAGCUGCAUCUGCUGGCCUGUGUGACAGUCACAGCAACACCAAAUAUGAGCCACGUCUGUGAUCUACACUGCACCUUACAGCAAGGCCGGAUCCUUAACCCGCUGAUUGAGGCCAAGGAUUGAACGAGCAUCCUCAUGAAUACUAGUUGGGUUUGUUAUUGCUGAGCCACAACAGGAACUCCAAGCCUUAUGGUCUUGUUUGGAGAAUCUAAGUUGCUUUGAUAGAGAAGCAGCCUUGAUUUCCAACCCAGCUACAGAGCUUCAGCACAGGGGUUUCUGAACCCAACAUUCCAUAUUUAACUCCGUAGUUGCCUGGGUCCAGAGCUGAUGUCGAUCUUCUUUUCAUACAGCUCUGUGUUGAUCUGUCAAACUCUGUUCCAUUGAAAUUUCAUCUAACCGCCAGUCUUCCUCGUAUUUCGAUAAAAACAGUCUGCCUUUAUUUCGUGAGACAGCGCACCAUCCCUCUGGUGUGCAGUUGGCCUUGUUGCAGUGAGUUGACAGCAUGACUUCGUUGGACAGCAGAUUUGCUAUGACGGACUCAGGCUGAUUGUACUACGGCAGUCUCAAAUUUUGUUUUGGCUUCUAUACUUAACUUGUGAUUGUAAAUUCUUUAAAUUUGUUUUUUUGGUACUCAAUGUAACGUUUAUAUUAAGAUAAUAUAAACACUAUUUUUUUUUAAUUUUUUUGGUCUUUUUAGGGCCGCACCUGUGGCAUAUGGAGGUUUCUAGACUUGGAGUCAAAUUGGAGCUGUAGCCACCGGCCUACGCCAGAGCCACAGCAACGUGGGAUCCAAGCGCAUCUGCAACCUUCACCACAACUCAUGGCAACGCCGGAUUCUUAAGCCACUGAGCAAGGCCAGGGAUCGAACCUGCAUCCUCAUGGAUACUAGUCGGGUUCAUAAACCACUGAGCCACGACGUGAACUCCAAUAUUAAGCUCUGUUUUUAAAUGACAAAGUAAUAUUCUAUAUGAAUAGCUAGCAAGCACAUGAAAAGAUGCCCAAUAUCAUUACUCAUUUGGCAAAUACAAGGCAAACCCACAGUGAGAUACUGCUUCAUACCGACCAGGAUGGCAACAGCUAGUCAAAAAGAGAUAAUAACAGUACAGACAAGGAUGUGGAGAAAUGGGAAACUUCAUACAUCGCCGGUGGGAUACAAAAUAACGCAGCUGCUCUGGAAAACACUGUGACAGUUUGUUAAAAGGUUAGAUACUCUGUGACCCACCCAUUCCACUCCUAGGUAUAUACCCAAGAAAAAUGAAAACAUGUCUACACAAAAAAUUUGUACAUGCAUGCUCAUAACAGUAGCAUUCAUGAAAGUCCAAAGGUAGAAACAACCCAAAUGUCCAUCACCUGAUGAAUGGAUAGACAAAAAGUGGAAUGUUAUUUGGCAAUAAAAAUGAAUUGAGUAUUGAUGCAUGCUACAACGUGGAUGGAUCCUAAAAACUUGCUAAAUGAAAGAAGCCAGUCACAAAGGCCCACAUACUGCAUGAUUCCAUUCAUAUGAAAUGUCCAGAAUAGGCAAACCUAUAUAGACAGAAGUAAACUGAUGGUUGCCAAGGACUUAGGGAAUUUGGAGGAAAUGGGGAGUGACUUCUAAUGGGUACAAGGUUUUUUUGGGGAGUGAUUAAACUGUAACAUUGUGGUAGUUCCUCCUGUGGUGCAACGGGAUGGAUGGUAUCUCAGCAGUGCCGGGGAUGCAGGUUCAAUCCCUAGCCUGGUGCAGUGGGUUAAGGGUCUGGUGUUGCCACAGCUGGGGCGUAGGUUGCAGCUCCAGCUCAGAUUU